rnacentral:tRNA from 2 species
GUUAGCUCAGUUGGUAGAGCAUCUGACUUUUAAUCAGAGGGUCACAGGUUCAAGCCCUGUAC